rnacentral:rRNA from 1 species
UACGUAGGGGGCAAGCGUUGUCCGGAUUUAUUGGGCGUAAAGAGCGUGUAGGCGGUCAGGUAGGUCCGUUGUGAAAACUCGAGGCUCAACCUCGAGACGCCGAUGGAAACCAUCUGACUAGAGUCCGGAAGAGGAGAGUGGAAUUCCUGGUGUAGCGGUGAAAUGCGCAGAUAUCAGGAAGAACACCAAUGGCGAAGGCAGCUCUCUGGGACGGUACUGACGCUGAGACGCGAAAAGCGUGGGGGAGCGAACAGG